UACGGAGGGUGCAAGCGUUGUUCGGAAUUACUGGGCGUAAAGCGCGUGUAGGCGGCCGAUUAAGUCUGGUGUGAAAGCCCGGGGCUCACCCCCGGAAGUGCGCUGGAAACUGGUCGGCUAGAGUAUGGGAGAGGAAAGUGGAAUUCCCGGUGUAGCGGUGAAAUGCGUAGAUAUUAGGAGGAACACCAGUGGCGAAGGCGGCUCACUGGCCCGGUACUGACGCUGAGGCGCGAAAGCGUGGGGAGCAAACAGG
rnacentral:rRNA from 1 species